rnacentral:rRNA from 1 species
AUUGAACGCUGGCGGCAUGCUUUACACAUGCAAGUCGAACGGCAGCACGGACUUCGGUCUGGUGGCGAGUGGCGAACGGGUGAGUAAUACAUCGGAACGUACCCAGUAAUGGGGGAUAACUAGUCGAAAGAUUAGCUAAUAACGCAUAAGCACUACGGGGGAAAGAGGGGGAUCGCAAGACCUCUUGUUAUUGGAGCGGCCGAUGGCUGGUUAGCUAGUUGGUGGGGUAAAGGCCGACCAAGGCGACGAUCAGUAGCUGGUCUUAGAGGACGAUCCGCCACACUGGAACUGAGACACGGUCCAGACUCCUACGGGAGGCAGCAGUGGGGAAUCUUGGACAAUGGGCGAAAGCCUGAUCCAGCAAUGCCGCGUGCGUGAAGAAGGCCUUCGGGUUGUAAAGCGCUUUUGUCUGGGAGCAAAUCCUUGUGGCUAAUACCCACCGGGGAUGAGAGUACCAGAAGAAUAAGGACCGGCUAACUACGUGCCAGCCGCCGCCGUAAUAC